rnacentral:rRNA from 1 species
CCUACGGGAGGCAGCAGUGAGGAAUAUUGGUCAAUGGGCGAGAGCCUGAACCAGCCAUCCCGCGUGCAGGAUGACGGCCCUAUGGGUUGUAAACUGCUUUUCUGCUCCAAGAAACCUGAUUACGAGUAAUCAGUUGACGGUAGAGUAGGAAUAAGCAUCGGCUAACUCCGUGCCAGCAGCCGCGGUAAU